AAGGAUCAUUACAGUAUUUCAGAGGGGUUAGAUGCUGGCUUCGGCACGUGCGCACCCCUCGAUUACAUUUCCACUUACACCUGUGAACACAGCUGAAUGCCUCCCAUUUAGGAGUCGUCUCGAGAGGCUUCGGCCGCUCGGGACUGGGGCGUUCACUCUUACCCUACAUACUUUAACGCCUGUUUAAAUGCAUGUCUAAUGGCUCUACGGAGCCAAAACAUAAUACAACUUUCAACAACGGAUCUCUUGGCUUUC
rnacentral:misc_RNA from 1 species